UGCCGGGGGACGCCCCUGCCCGGCCACCUGAGAGGGGGCCACCUCCGCUCGGCCCGCGGGGCAGGGCAGGAGAGGACAGGGGCCCGGAGUCGGAGGAAAAGGGUGCGCAGGAUGCCUCGGACGGCGCGGCCGAAGGAAGGCCCGCGGGUUCCGGCGCAGAGGUGCGGAGGCUCGACGGAGUGCAGCGAUAAUGACUCUGGGAGGGUUUUCGGCCCCUGGGCCCCGCCUUUCCCCCAGCUCCGCGCCAUUGGCUCAGGUGCCGAGAGGCGGGGGGAAGGGCGGGGGGCGGGCCCGGGAUGAUUCACCUUGAAUGUGGCUCCGGUUGGUGCACCGCGCAGGACACGCCCGACUGGGACUGCGGAGACGCCGCGAGCCCCGCCCGCUCUCCCGACCCGGAUGGGUCUGGUCCCCGGGGGUCUCGCCGCCCGCCUGGUGCCGCGGCCUCCUGCCCUCGGUCUAGGGUGCCGCUGGCCGAGGUGCGCCCCGACGCGCUGCCAUCCCACCGCCCUCCGAGCCCGGAGCUAGCCGAGGUCACCCUCAGUCUUGAGAUUAGAAGACCGAGAUAUUCCUCCUGAAGACUCUUCUCGUUUCCUGUGCCUUCUCGUCUUUAUCGACAAAACCCAGAGCCUACGUGCCUUAUUGCUACAUGGGCUGUGCGUGUUCUCUGCCCAGAGCUCGGACCCCGCCUCUGACUGCCCGAGGGCUCAGGUGCAAACAGCACCCGUCUGUGUUUGUUGAAUAAAUGAAUGGCAUUUGUGUUCAUGAACACAGUUUCUUCUUCUGGACUGUAAUUAAUGAAAAAACCCAGGAGGAGGAAAGUUACAUUUAUUGGGUGGGUGCUUUAUGCUGUGUGAGGCCGGCAUUAUUAUGCCCACUUCAUGGACGAGAAAACCGAGGCUUCGGAAGGCAGAGAAAUGGAGGUGCAGGGGAGACUCAGAAGUCAUCCAAUCAAG